ACGGUAGUAGCUCAGCUGGAAGAGUGCCUGCCUGUCACGCAGGAAGACGUGGGUUCGAAUCUCACCUACUGUU
rnacentral:tRNA from 1 species